AUUGAACGCUGGCGGCAUGCCUUACACAUGCAAGUCGAACGGCAGCGCGGACUUCGGUCUGGCGGCGAGUGGCGAACGGGUGAGUAAUACAUCGGAACGUACCCUGUUGUGGGGGAUAACUAGUCGAAAGAUUAGCUAAUACCGCAUACGACCUGAGGGUGAAAGUGGGGGACCGCAAGGCCUCACGCCGCAGGAGCGGCCGAUGUCUGAUUAGCUAGUUGGUGGGGUAAAGGCCCACCAAGGCGACGAUCAGUAGCUAGUCUGAGAGGACGAUCAGCCACACUGGGACUGAGACACGGCCCAGACUCCUACGGGAGGCAGCAGUGGGGAAUUUUGGACAAUGGGGGCAACCCUGAUCCAGCAAUGCCGCGUGUGUGAAGAAGGCCUUCGGGUUGUAAAGCACUUUUGUCCGGAAAGAAAUCGCGCUGGUUAAUACCUGGCGUGGAUGACGGUACCGGAAGAAUAAGCACCGGCUAACUACGU
rnacentral:rRNA from 1 species